UGGGGAAUCUUGGACAAUGGGCGCAAGCCUGAUCCAGCCAUGCCGCGUGAGUGAAGAAGGCCUUCGGGUUGUAAAGCUCUUUUACCAGGGACGAUAAUGACGGUACCUGGAGAAUAAGCCCCGGCAAACUUCGUGCCAGCAGCCGCGGUAAUACGAAGGGGGCUAGCGUUGUUCGGAAUUACUGGGCGUAAAGCGCACGUAGGCGGAUUGUUAAGUCAGAGGUGAAAUCCCGGAGCUCAACUUCGGAACUGCCUUUGAUACUGGCAAUCUAGAGUCCGGAAGAGGUUAGUGGAAUUCCCAGUGUAGAGGUGAAAUUCGUAGAUAUUGGGAAGAACACCAGUGGCGAAGGCGGCUAACUGGUCCGGUACUGACGCUGAGGUGCGAAAGCGUGGGGAGCAAACAGGAUUAGAUACCCCGGUAGUCCCUGAGCGGGC
rnacentral:rRNA from 1 species